AGAGUUUGUUUAGGGCUCAGAUUGAACGCUGGCGGCAGGCUUAACACAUGCAAGUCGAGCGGCAGCGGAAAGAAGCUUGCUUCUUUGCCGGCGAGCGGCGGACGGGUGAGUAAUGUCUGGGGAUCUGCCCGAUGGAGGGGGAUAACUACUGGAAACGGUAGCUAAUACCGCAUAAUGUCGCAAGACCAAAGUGGGGGACCUUCGGGCCUCACACCAUCGGAUGAACCCAGAUGGGAUUAGCUAGUAGGUGGGGUAAUGGCUCACCUAGGCGACGAUCCCUAGCUGGUCUGAGAGGAUGACCAGCCACACUGGAACUGAGACACGGUCCAGACUCCUACGGGAGGCAGCAGUGGGGAAUAUUGCACAAUAGGGGAAACCCUGAUGCAGCCAUGCCGCGUGUGUGAAGAAGGCCUUCGGGUUGUAAAGCACUUUCAGCGGGGAGGAAGGCAAUGGCGUUAAUAGUGUCAUUGAUUGACGUUACCCGCAGAAGAAGCACCGGCUAACUCCGUGCCAGCAGCCGCGGUAAUACGGAGGGUGCGAGCGUUAAUCGGAAUUACUGGGCGUAAAGCGUACGCAGGCGGUCUGUUAAGUCAGAUGUGAAAUCCCCGGGCUUAACCUGGGAACUGCAUUUGAAACUGGCAGGCUAGAGUCUCGUAGAGGGGGGUAGAAUUCCAGGUGUAGCGGUGAAAUGCGUAGAGAUCUGGAGGAAUACCGGUGGCGAAGGCGGCCCCCUGGACGAAGACUGACGCUCAGGUACGAAAGCGUAGGGAGCAAACAGGAUUAGAUACCCUGGUAGUCCACGCUGUAAACGAUGUCGAUUUGAAGGUUGUGGUCUUGAGCCGUGGCUUUCGGAGCUAACGCGUUAAAUCGACCGCCUGGGGAGUACGGCCGCAAGGUU
rnacentral:rRNA from 1 species